CCCAGGGGUUUCUGGAGGUUAGCGCUGUGUUUCUCCUCUAUUCUCUCCCAUCAUUGUUCUAUAGCAAAUUUUUUCCCAUAAAAUAUUCUCAUGAUUUUCAUUAGAGAAAUGAUGGAGAGAAUACUUUUUAUGGUAAAAGGAGGUUUAGAAAAAUGAUGGAGAGAAUAAAAAAUCGAGAAAAAGGUGGUAUAGUAAAUUGGAGAGAAAACGUAUAUAUUUUAUUUAUUAAUUUUAAAAGAGGUAUAGAAAAAUUAUGGAGAAUAAAAAAUAGGGAGAAAGGAGGUAUAGAAAAUGUUUGAGAGAGUAUACAUCUUUUGGAAAAAGGAGGUAUAGAAAAUGAUGGAGAGAAUAUUUUUUUUGGAAAAAGGAGGUGUAGAAAAUUAUGGAGUGAAUAAAAAAAUCGAGAAAAAGGUGGUAUAGAAAAUGAUCAAGAGAAUAUAUUUUUUGGGAAAAAGGAGGUAUAGAAAAUGAUGGAGAGAAUAUCUUUUUUUGGAAAAAGGAGGUAUAGAAAAUUAUGGAGAGAAUAAAAAAAUCGAGAUAAAGGUGGUAAAGAAAAUGAUCAAGAGAAUAUAUUUUUGGGGAAAAAGGAGGUUUAGAAAAUGGAGAGAAUAUAUUUUUGGGAAAAAUAAGGUAUAGAAAAUGAUGGAGAAUAUAUUAUCUGGAAAAGGAGGUAGAGAAAAUUAUGGAGAGAAUAAAAAAUCUAGA